rnacentral:tRNA from 1 species
GCGCCCAUAGUUCAACGGAUAGAACACCAGCCUUCUAAGCUGGUUAUGGGGGUUCGAUUCCCUCUGGGCGCACUA